rnacentral:rRNA from 1 species
CGACGCACCUUCGGGUGUUUAGGAGUGGCAGACGGGUGAGUAACGCGUGGGAACCUACCUUUAGGUACGGAAUAACGCAGGGAAACUUGUGCUAAUACCGUAUGAUCCCUUCGGGGCAAAGAUUUAUCGCCUAAAGAUGGGCCCGCGUUAGAUUAGCUAGUUGGUGAGGUAAUGGCUCACCAAGGCGACGAUCUAUAGCUGGUUUGAGAGGAUGAUCAGCCACACUGGAACUGAGACACGGUCCAGACUCCUACGGGAGGCAGCAGUGGGGAAUCUUGCACAAUGGGCGAAAGCCUGAUGCAGCCAUGCCGCGUGAGUGAAGAAGGCCUUAGGGUUGUAAAGCUCUUUCGCUAGGGAUGAUAAUGACAGUACCUAGUAAAGAAGUUCCGGCUAACUCCGUGCCAGCAGCCGCGGUAAUACGGAGGGAACUAGCGUUGUUCGGAAUUACUGGGCGUAAAGCGCGCGUAGGCGGACCAAUCAGUCAGAGGUGAAAUCCCGGGGCUUAACCUCGGAACUGCCUUUGAUACUGUUGGUCUAGAGUUCGAGAGAGGUAAGUGGAAUUCCCAGUGUAGAGGUGAAAUUCGUAGAUAUUGGGAAGAACACCAGUGGCGAAGGC